CUGAACUGCACAUUUUCUAUUCCUCUAACCCUGAUGCGCUGCCGUUCCUUCGUCCACGACGCGCCGCCGCCGUUGUCCGUCCCGCUGGCGAGAAGAUUGGUCAUCCUUCUUUUCUUCCCUUUUCUGGGUCCCGUUCUCUCCUCCGGCGCGCGCGCGCGAAACUUAAUCCCGCCCUUGCGUUCGCUGGCGGCGAUGGAUGACCUCAGAUGCCAUCAUGCCAAUGCCAUGGAAUACUCUUCCCACCUUCCGUGACGGGUUCAAAUCGAGGGGAUGGGUAAAGCACCCGCUAAUACUAAUAUUGGCAAUAUUGUGUUCGACAUCAUCUUGGCCCCAGAAGAAUAUUUACAUACAGAUGAACAUGUAGCCAAUCUUCUGCACAGGUUAUAGAAGAAGCUCAUCUUCCGAUAUUCUAAAGCUCAUCUUGUGGUUCAUUAUAGGUAUAACAUGGUUAUUGUUUGUUCAAUCAAAUGGUCAGCCUAAGAUCCUUGAGCUUUAAGUCCAUGUCCUAUCACAAUAAAGGCAUAUGUUUUUGCAUAUUUCUCUCUUGUAUGUUCAAGUGCAAAUAUAGAUCAUGGUGUUGAUAUUAUUUUUUUUGCUUUGGAAUUGGAUGUUAUCUUUUGCUGGUAAUAUAUUUGUGCUAGAACAAAAACUGAUGUCAAGUUUUUUUUAUUCUAAUUGUUAAACCGAU